rnacentral:lncRNA from 1 species
AUUCAGAAUGUCACCUGGUGAUAAGAUGACAUGCAUUUGAGCCUCAAUCCCCUUCCAGCAUCCCCUCUCCUCUGCCCCGCAAGCCACAAGCUGGCAGCUUUCCGAUUCCAGAGCAAGCUUGCCACACGAAUCCUGCGAGGAACAGCAGUUAUGUCUUAAUCUCCUCUCCUCCUGUCCCCACCGGAGGCUGAGCCACUCUGCCUGGGUUUUCCCUCCCGCUCGCCCCCAUCCCGAACUCUCUCCACGCCCCGCUUCUUCCCCCACGCACACGGCGGCUGCACCGUCACAGAAAGCAGGUGAACGCGGGGCCACGGGGCGCUCGGGUAGAAAUGCCACGUCGCACCACCAAGUCACACCGUCCCUGCCCGUCCCUCUCCGGCCAUCCCACUAACUAUUGUAUUGGGGCCAUGCAGCCGCUGGAAUAAUCAGCGAAGCCACAGGUCUCCCCAUCUUGGCAAGUGGAGGUGUGCGCUGCCCUCAGACAUCUGUGAACCGCUGUUCAACGCCAACCCCGAAGGCAGAAGGGGAAACCAAGUCACCUCCCAGAAAGACGUUUGAUGAGCAGAGAUAGAUUUGCCUCCAGACUGGUACCAGGUCUGGGGAAACCCAGGCAGAGCCCCAGGCUCUAUGCGACCCAAAGAAGAAAAAAAUGGGUGCACAGUGAUGGCUCCAGGUCUCCCCACCCAGAUGCUACCACGAAAUCCCUGGCAUCCACGAAGCUUCCCCCUGUUCCAUGGUGGAAAUUGGGGGAAAAUGGACUUGUGUCUCCAAGCAGGGUCCAUGGACACUGGACGAUGCCUGAAAUCCCCUGGGAGGCAGGGAAAAAAGGCGCACUGAACGCUCAACCGGGGUAUAAGGAGUGAUUUUUUUUUCUCUGCUGGCAGCAGGCAGGAACCUGGGGUUUGAAUGUCCCCUUCUCUGUCGCCACCUCACGCAGACUUCAGAGGCUCUCAAGGUUUCCUGGAGAGGGGGAAAUCGUCCCCGGAGCUGACCUGCCAACCAGUAGCACCCUCCAGCGCCUCAGCCGGGCCACGCCAAAAUGACCUGUCACCCAUCUCCCGCGGGGAGUGGGGAGCGGGCCAGUCCACCGCCUCUUGGGACGGCAUCUCUGGACGGCCACUGACAGUACCAGUCUCUGUCACCCCCUGGGGGGUUAGGGGCAAUGUCAUCGGCCAGGGUGGCAGAAAUAGAAAAGUGCGUGAGCUCACCAGGCAGCCUGGGUCUCCUGCGACGUUUUGUUUGCCUGAGCCCAAUUAGAACAACUCUCAGGAUGAUGGAGUAUGGCGGGCGGUGGCCCCCAGGGGGCUGGGAGGCCUAGCCCCCAUGCAGAAGUGCACCGUCAUGAUGAGGGUGUCCCCCGGGCCUGGGGAACAGGGCAGGACCCUGCUUCCCGGAGGGAAAUAAU